rnacentral:rRNA from 1 species
GACGAACGCUGGCGGCGUGCCUAACACAUGCAAGUCAACUUGACUGAAGGAGCAAUCUGACAGUAGAGUGGCGCAAGGGUGCGUAACGCGUAAGUAACUUGCCCCAAGGUAAGGAAUAACGUCGAGAAAUCGGCGCUAAUACCUCAUAAUGCAGCGGAUCCGCAUGGAUAUGUUGUUAAAGGUUUACCGCCUUGGGAUAGGCUUGCGUCUGAUUAGCUAGUUGGUGUGGUAACGGCACACCAAGGCUACGAUCAGUAACUGGUCUGAGAGGAUGAUCAGUCACACUGGAACUGAGACACGGUCCAGACUCCUACGGGAGGCAGCAGUGAGGAAUAUUGGGCAAUGCUCGAAAGAGUGACCCAGCAACGCCGCGUGGAGGAUGGAGGGUAUUCUAUAUUGUAAACUCCUGUGAGAGCAGACGAAGACAGAUUAUAAUCUGGAUGACUGUAUGCUCAGA